rnacentral:rRNA from 1 species
UGCCCGGUAGCUAAAUGCGGAAGAGAUAAGUGCUGAAAGCAUCUAAGCACGAAACUUGCCCCGAGAUGAGUUCUCCCUGAGACUUUAAGUCUCCUGAAGGAACGUUAAAGACGAUGACGUUGAUAGGCCGGGUGUGUAAGCGCAGCGAUGCGUUGAGCUAACCGGUACUAAUGAACCGUGAGGCUUAACCUUACAACGCCGAAG